rnacentral:lncRNA from 1 species
UUCUAUAUUCUUCUAUUGGAGAAUUUAUACAUAGAUGUAGUAAUUGCUAUUUUUUUAUGAAGUCCUUACUAUGUGGCAGGCACUGUGCUGACUGGUUUACGCAAACAUUCUUUACUAAUCUCACAACAAACCUGUGAUUGAUGGAAUUACUGUCCCUAUUUUACAGAUAUGGAGACCAGGACUUGGAGAGGCUAAGAAAUACCUUCAAGAUCAAAUAAGGACAGUGACAAGAUUCAUACCCAUCUGCCUGAGUCUUAAGCAUUUUGCUACUUUGAACCUAGGUCCAUCCUGCUCAUCUUUAGAGCCUCGCUGUUCUUUAUCCCCGGUAGCCAGCAGGGUACUGAGCCCUUGGGUUGAGUAUUGAAUCACCCCUAAAAGUUCUCUGAACAGACAUUGAGGAUGCAAUAAAUUGACUGGAACAGUGCUUGGCACUUGAUCUCAGCCACAGACCUUGUGCUCCCAACCCAUGGGCUUCCCAGAGAGACCGCAGAUUGGCUGCCAACACCCUGAAGACAGCAAGGCUGCCCAGUCCCCCAAGGCCUGCCAAGGACAGAUUCUACCUGCAACGUGGACCCAGAGAGUCAUUCUCGAACAAAGGAACCCCAGAGGCCUGAACUUACUCAGAAUUGACUUCUGCGUCCUUCUAUUAUUGGGACUGACAUUUGAAGUCCCCGGCCAGGUCUCCCUGUCAUUUGCCAUCGCCUUUGAAGUGCUUAAGAGCCGAGGUAACUUGGGGUGGCACCUGGGCUCCUGACAGUGACACGGGUGUCUCUGCCGUUUGCUGGGGACGCGUCACUUGCCCCUGCUUUUAUCAUCACUCUUUUUCUUCUCCCUGUUUCGUUUCCCAAGUGAAUUGUCGUCGCCUAGUCUUCUGCCCUUCGUUUCUAAGGGCUGGGGAGGACGUUCUUAUGUGAAUGGCCUUUAACUCAUCCCACUGUUCCCCCAGAGUUGGUAUUUGCAUUAUUUCUCAUUUUUCUCUAAUGUAACAAUCCCUGCAUGAAUAUUCUCAUUCUUUCCCCCUCCCCCAGGCCUAUGAAGGUAUAACUGAUCAGUAAUAAUCAUAUCUCUUUAAGCAGUGCAAUGUGAUAAUUGGACGUGUGUAUACAUUGUGAAAUUAUUCCCACAAUCAAGUUAAUUAACACAUUUGUCACCUCACACCUUUUGGUUGGUGUAAUGAUUGUAGACCUUUUUGCACACCCACAUUUAUCCACAACAAAAUUCUAAAAUAAAAUCGUCUUAAGGCAAAGGGUAUGGACUUUA